GUUGGAGGAGUACAUAAACAAGCCUGUGGGGCAGCCCCCACCCCCGCCCCACCCCCACAAGAGCUGGAGGGAAAAGACUGGGAAGCAGGAUGAGAGAACAAGCUGGUCUGAAACCAGUUCCCACCUCCUCUCAGGGGAGGACAACACUCUGCUCUUUCUCUCCAGUCAUUUCUAUUCACACAAGACAAAGCAGAUAAUGAAAAGCAAAAACCCAUCGAGAAAAGCUUCUACUUAAGAAAAAAGGUAGGACUACUUCCAUUAUGCCGGAGGGAGAGCUGGGUCUGCCAGCUGCCUUUGGACAAUUGAGUUCCUACUGGGUGCCAAGCAUGUCAUUAUCUCUUAUAAUCCUCACAGCAAUUCUCUGAGACUUUGGGCAGCAGCUUCCUUGAAUUAACACGUUCACAAGGCGGAAAAUCAGGGGCGUUUUUACCGGUUUAUUCGAGCUGUGUGAAGAAAAAUGUAACACACUUGUGCCCUCUCAUGUCUACACGGCAUGGACAAGAGACGCUGCAGUGUAACCACAGGUAUCAUGGUAUAUUGCUGAAUAUUUGGAAAUAGAAAAGCAUAGAGUUUACUUUGAAAUUCUUUUAUAUACUUCCACCAGUGUUGACAGAGAAGCCGAUUUGUUGAAAAUCCCCCUCCGUGUUUCAAGUUGGAAUACAUUACUAGACUCAUUGACUGAAAACGUUUUCAUGAUUGUUUAAAUUUAGAUUUUUUAGAGAUUACUUCAUCAAAGAACUGUUGACCAAAUGGUAAAUUUAAUCAGGUUUCCACUGAAAAUGCACAAUCUCAAUGAAUCAUAACAGAACAAUAUAUAGGCAGACAAUGGCCUCACAUUGUACUAACAUAUGGGUCCUUGUAAUCAAAUUGUUACAGUUUAAUGAGCCCAAAGAUUCGCAGGAUGCUUUACUGUUUCCUGAAAGUGACAAACUCUUGAUGGAGUAGGACUUCAGAGCAAACGUACUAAACAUGAGCACUCUGGCAGUUUCAGGAGUAAGACACGCUGUGUUCAGUAGCGCCUGCUCAGCACUCAAGGUGCUUUUCACUGUAUGCCCCUCUUAUUCAAGGAUGUGAUUACUACCCUGUGUGAACUCUUCAGCCUAGCAUGCAAAGCCUUCUUACCAGUUUUCAUCCUCUAGAAGGCUUCCUUUCCUCGACUCUCCUACUAGGCCCCUCAGAACUAUCAGAACAAUGUGUGGCUUUUUCCUACAGAGAACCUACCUUUCUUGCCUGCACAUUUCACAGUAUGCCAUCCCUUUUCUCCUUUAAUUUGUGCCAGCCUACCUUCCCUUUCACAAUUUGACAUGUAUUUUUCUAAUAAACAAAAAACAAAAACCCUUCAUAAUUAAUUCCAUGUGGCUCUUCAAACCUCUAUUUACCUCUGCUUUCUCUUUGUUGUGCUACUAUUUUUAAGACUUUGGCCCAUCCAUUUAAAUUCAUUAUGGCUCUAUAUUGAGAAUAAUGCUAAUGCUACUUUCCUAGUGGAUUUGUUGCCAUGAUUAAACAAGACAAUGCAUGUAAAGUACUUAGAACAGGGCUGACAUAUGGUAAAGUCUUGAUAAAUACCAUACUAAAGCAAAUACUUACGUAAGUGGCUGACUCUCUUCUAAGCCUUUCCUUGUGUUUAAUUCACCCAUAAUACCUCUUUUCAGGAGGCACUUAUAGAACUCUCCAGAUAGAGAGAAUACUGAAACCUAUGUCCCUCAUCAGUUAGAAUGUCUUAAGUCAGAUGGAUUUCUUUUCAUUCUCAAGCUAUUUGAAUUUUUAGAUCUUUUUAGGUAUUAGAUGAUGUUAAAUUGUUGCUGGUUGUUAAUUUCAGCACAAAUACUAGUUUAGGAUGCAAUCCAUUGUUGGCACUUAGAACAGUGCCUGGCAUGCAGGGGGCACUCAGUAAAUGUUGUUACUAUUAUCAUUAUUGCCGUGUUAUGAGUGUCUGGGGUUUCUCACUCUUUCUGUUCCCCUGAAUUCAAUAAUUAAAUUGCAUUUAAAAAUAAUGUCCAAAAUGCCUUUUAAAACAUUCCAGAAUAUAUUCAUUAACUUAAAAACAAGUCAGUGAUAUCCUAGAGAUUAUUGUGUCUACAUCACUUAAAGUUUCUACAUUGAUGACAUCCUAAUUUUUGAGAUAACUUUUUUAAAUUGGCAAAGCUAACAGAAAGUGAAGCAUCCUACCAGAUGUUUUAAUUAAAAUAUUUUAGCACAUCCAUGAAAAUCUUCAAAAUCAAUUCACUAAGUACUCAGAAAGCAACCAC
ensembl:lncRNA